CCUACGGGAGGCAGCAGUGAGGAAUAUUGGUCAAUGGGCUUACGCCUGAACCAGCCAAGUCGCGUGAGGGAAGACUGCCCUAUGGGUUGUAAACCUCUUUUGUCAGGGAGCAAUUGGCGCUACGUGUAGCGUUAUCGAGAGUACCCGAAGAAAAAGCAUCGGCUAACUCCGUGCCAGCAGCCGCGGUAAUACGGAGGAUGCGAGCGUUAUUCGGAUUUAUUGGGUUUAAAGGGUGCGUAGGCGGACUGGAAAGUCAGCGGUAAAAUCGAGAGGCUCAACCUCUUUCCGCCGUUGAAACUGUCGGUCUUGAGUGGGCGAGAAGUAUGCGGAAGGCGUGGUGUAGCGGUGAAAUGCAUAGAUAUCACGCAGAACUCCGAUUGCGAAGGCAGCAUACCGGCGCCCGACUGACGCUGAGGCACGAAAGCGUGGGUAUCGAACAGGAUUAGAUACCCGUGUAGUC
rnacentral:rRNA from 1 species